UUUUCCACAAUGGGGGCAACCCUGAUGGAGCAACGCCGCGUGCAGGAUGAAUGCCUUCGGGUUGUAAACUGCUUUUAUCUGUGAAGAUUAUGACGGUAGCAGAUGAAUAAGGAUCGGCUAACUCCGUGCCAGCAGCCGCGGUCAUACGGAGGAUCCAAGCGUUAUCCGGAAUUACUGGGCGUAAAGAGUUGCGUAGGUGGCAUAGUAAGUUAAUAGUGAAAUCGUGUGGCUCAACCAUGCUCACAUUAGUAAAACUGCUGAGCUAGAAGACGAGAGAGGUAGCUGGAAUUCCUAGUGUAGGAGUGAAAUCCGUAGAUAUUAGGAGGAACACCGAUGGCGUAGGCAGGCUGCUGGCCCGUUCUUGACACUAAGGCACGAAAGCGUGGGGAGCAAAC
rnacentral:rRNA from 1 species